GAUAUGGUGGGCGCAUUCACGACGGUGUGUCGCAUUUUAAAUUUCUUGAGGAUUGACAGAUUGAGAGCUAUUUCUUGAUUCGGUGGAUGGUGGUGCAUGUCCAUUCUUAGUUGGUGGAGCGAUUUGUGUGGUUAAUUCCGAUAACGAACGAGACUCUAGCCUAUUAAAUAGGUGCGUGGUUCUCUGCACCUUGCACCAUUCAUAGAGGACAAGCGGCUGCUAGCGGCACGAAACAGAGCAAUAACAGGUCUGUGAUACCCUAAAGGCCGGUUCAGACACUUGCGUUUGACUGCGUUUGACUGCGUUGCGUCGAGAACCGAAAGCGAGUCACCGGCACAUCUGUGCUUCGUAUGAAGCGUGGAAUCCUAUUGAAGGGAUCAUCUUCGCACGUGAUAGAAGCAGCAGGGAUGUC
rnacentral:rRNA from 1 species